AGGACCAGGAGUCCAUCCAGCCCCUGCUUCAGCACAACAGGGCCUUCGGUGUCGGCGCCAUCCUGGACUAUGCAGUGGAGGAGGACCUGAGCCCCGAGGAGGCAGAGCACAAGGAGAUGGAGUCCUGCACCUCAGCUGCGGAGAGGGAUGGCAGUGGCACAAAUAAGCGGGACAAGCAAUACCAGGCCCACCGGGCCUUCGGGGACCGCAGGAAUGGUGUCAUCAGUGCCCGCACCUACUUCUACGCCAAUGAGGCCAAGUGCGACAGCCACAUGGAGACAUUCUUGCGCUGCAUAGAAGCCUCAGGUGGGGCCCUCUCUUUGCUGGCUAUAGCCCUGCCAUGUCCCAGCCUGAGCGGACCCCUGGGCUCAUGGAGGUGCUGGUGGGUGAACACCAAGCUGGGGCAGGAGCCAGAGGGCUGGGUUCUGGUCACACUUGGGUCCCUCACUGUUCAGCCUCUUCCUGAGGGGCCCCACUGCCUCCCAGAAGGCAUCUCCUCUCCUGCCCCAGCUCCCUGUUCCCUGAUCCUGCCUCAUGCCCCCCACCUUUCUCCCGGCUUGGGGCCAGGACUAGGAGCUGCAGGAAGUUGGUCCAUGUCAGCUGCUGAGCCACACUUAGCCCAGGGUGGAGG
rnacentral:sRNA from 1 species